rnacentral:rRNA from 1 species
GCUAACUCCGGGCAGGGGGCGGCGGGAAUACGGGGGGGGCAAGCGUUACUCGGAAUCACGAGGCGUAAAGAGCAUGUAGGCGGAUUAAUAAGUUUGAAGUGAAAUCCUAUAGCUUAACUAUAGAACUGCUUUGAAAACUGUUAAUCUAGAAUGUGGGAGAGGUAGAUGGAAUUUCUGGUGUAGGGGUAAAAUCCGUAGAGAUCAGAAGGAAUACCGAUUGCGAAGGCGAUCUACUGGAACAUUAUUGACGCUGAGAUGCGAAAGCGUGGGGAGCAAACAGGUUUAGAUACCCCGGUAGUC